GCCUCGAUAGCUCAGUUGGUAGAGCGAGGGACUGAAAAUCCUUGCGUCGGUGGUUCGAAUCCACCUCUUGGCACCA
rnacentral:tRNA from 1 species